UAGGGAAUCUUCCACAAUGGACGCAAGUCUGAUGGAGCAACGCCGCGUGAGUGAAGAAGGUUUUCGGACCGUAAAGCUCUGUUGUUGGUGAAGAAGGAUAGAGGUAGUAACUGGCCUUUAUUUGACGGUAAUCAACCAGAAAGUCACGGCUAACUACGUGCCAGCAGCCGCGGUAAUACGCAGGUGGCAAGCGUUGUCCGGAUUUAUUGGGCGUAAAGCGAGCGCAGGCGGAAGAAUAAGUCUGAUGUGAAAGCCCUCGGCUUAACCGAGGAAUUGCAUCGGAAACUGUUUUUCUUGAGUGCAGAAGAGGAGAGUAGAACUCCAUGUGUAGCGGUGGAAUGCGUAGAUAUAUGGAAGAAUACCAGUGGCGAAGGCGGCUCUCUGGUCUGCAACUGACGCUGAGGCUCGAAAGCAUGGGUAGCGAACAGGAUUAGAUACCCUGGUAGUCCAUGCCGUAAACGAUGAGUGCUAAGUGUUGGGAGGCUUCCGCCUCUCAGUGCUGCAGCUAACGCAUUAAGCAUUCCGCCUGGGGGAGUACGACCGCAAGGUUGAAAC
rnacentral:rRNA from 1 species